rnacentral:rRNA from 1 species
CCAGCAGCCGCGGUAAUACGGAGGGGGUUAGCGUUGUUCGGAAUUACUGGGCGUAAAGCGCACGUAGGCGGAUCAGAAAGUUGGGGGUGAAAUCCCGGGGCUCAACCCCGGAACUGCCUCCAAAACUACUGGUCUAGAGUUCGAGAGAGGUGAGUGGAAUUCCGAGUGUAGAGGUGAAAUUCGUAGAUAUUCGGAGGAACACCAGUGGCGAAGGCGGCUCACUGGCUCGAUACUGACGCUGAGGUGCGAAAGUGUGGGGAGCAAACAGGAUUAGAUACCCUGGUAGUCCACACCGUAAACGAUGAAUGCCAGUCGUCGGGUAGUAUACUAUUCGGUGACACACCUAACGGAUUAAGCAUUCCGCCUGGGGAGUACGGUCGCAAGAUUAAAACUCAAAGGAAUUGACGGGG